AUUUCUACUAUCUGAUAAUAAGGAAAAGUUCAUGAUCUCUUAAUUUCUAUUGCAAAAAUGAUGAGAGGUGGCUGGUUGUUCUCCCUAAAGGUAUUCUCAUUUAAGUAAAGGAGCGGACUGUGGUGAAGUUUGCUUCUGGAACAUGAGGAGGAAUUACGAGAAGAUGUUGGGGCUAUCUUUUCAUACUCACCAAUCACUCUACUUGGACCAACUUCAAGGGCUGAAAAGCUUUGUUUACGAUCCUGGUUCUAAUGACACCAAAUUAUCUAUAAAGUUUGGUAGCCACUAAACGUGGUUUUUGAGCACUUGAAAUGUGGCUAGUCCAAAUUAAGAAGUAAGUAUAAUAUACACAUUGAGUUUUGAAGAUGUAGAUUAAGAAAGAACAUAAAUUAUCUCUAAUUUUUAUAUUGGUACAGGUUAAAAUGGUUAUUUUUGAUAUACUGGGUAAAUAAAACGUAUCAUUAAAAUAGAUUUCAUAUUUCUUUAACGUUUUUAGUGUUGGCUACUGGUGUUUUAAAAGUUAGAAAUGUUCCUCACAUUGUAUUUUUGUUGAAUAGUGUUGCCCUAGCCAUUGGUCUCUCUUAAGCAUCAGACUUAGCCCAAAACCUGAAAUACAAUGUGUUAAUGAAUAUACUGAAUAAGUAAAUAUGUGUGUAAAACAAAAACUUCUGAUAAAUUAGAAUACAUCUCACAAGAAUUAUACAGGAAUUUUGUUAAAAUUUUCUUGAGA
rnacentral:lncRNA from 1 species